rnacentral:misc_RNA from 1 species
UUUAGCCGCGUGUUGCCCCGCCGAGUAUAAAUACCAACACCACGCGUCCAGCGCGUUCCUCUACACGACAGUCGACUGGUGACAGAGAACAGUUGUCAACGAGAGACUUCAUUGACAGGUGAGCGGCCAAGUGUCACUGACCACACUCCAGGACUAAGACUGUGUUGUCAUGUUCCAAGAUUACCACCUUACCUAUCAGAUAUGAAAGGGUCGGCGGCUUUGCACAUUCUCUCCCUCCUCAUGGCGUCGGACGGCGAUGGCUGGCAGCAGCAGCAGCAGGUACCCGAGAGUUCCUCUCACUACGCCCCACGCCUCGGCCUUGACCUCUGCGACCCCUUGGAUGUCGAAUCUCUGGACUUGAACCAAGGCCUGUACGUUGAUGGCGACGUUCAAGACGGGGUGGAGUCUUGGGUGGAGAGCGUCAUCGAGCUGACAUCAUCGGGAGAGUUUGUGUCCUCGGGGGAUCAAGCAUCGGUUCCAUCCUCGUCCAGCGUGAGUAGUGGUCAGCAUUUCCCUCCCGGCCAGCCCGCCGCGCGCUACGACUGCAGCAGUCACGGUGGCCUGCACACGCUCCUGGCGUCCGACAAUGCCACGUUCGACUCCGUCCAAAACUUUGCCUCGGGGGAAAAUAUCUCCAUGGAUUUUUCUCUUCUGGUUCCUGCCAUGUCCGAGGCUGAAGAAGCUUCCGUGUCUGCUUUGACGUUAGCGCCCUCGGGGCUCGAGGAGGAGACACCACGUGUGUUACUGGACGACACGGAGGUGAUGGGCGCCGGACAUUUUCCCAGCUCGCUCUGGAAUUUUGAUUUAAGUGCUGCGACCUUUGAGCCGUUGGGGUCACUAGACGGGGGUCAAGAAGUCGCCGGGACGUCAACAUCAACGUCGAGACGGUUGACAUCGUGGGCAGGCUCAACGACGGCGACAUGUCGAGGCUGUCGCUGCUGUCAUCAUCAGCGUCCUCUCUAGCUCAGUCGCUGGACGAUGAGGAUGCUGUUGAUGAUGAUGAUGACGAUGCCGGUGACCAGCAGAAACUCAUCCUCGAGAAGCGAGAGAAGAACCGCUGGCCGCCCAGAAGUGUCGCACCAAGAAGCGGGACAGAGCAGAGGCCCUGCAAAAGGAUGUGUCCAGGCUGGAGGAGAAGCAGGACCGGCUGAAGGAGGAGGUGAGGAGACUGCAGGAUGAGUGCGAAACGCUGGAGGACAUCAUCCAGGUGCACGGGAUGGUCUGCCCCAAGCUGCGCAAGACCUCGCCACACUGACCUCCCCUUGACCACCAACCAUGUCUUUAGGUCACGUGAGGACUCGGCACGCGCCGGCAUCAACCUUGUCUGGUGCAGUUUAUUUAGCAAGACUACUCGCAGAAGACGAUUGAGUUGUUUACAGAAGGAGUUGUUGUUGAUGUUGGGAAUGAGAAGUUCCCGAGGUCUGACAGUUGACAGCAAGGCUGGUGUUGAUGGCAGGACUUUGUCCACAGGUUCUGGGGGCCUAGAAGGCUGUGACAAACCAUCUGCUGGCAAAAGUACAAAUAUUUGUUGAAACCCGAGUGACAAAAAACAAUUUUAUGGAGACUGAGAAGCACUCGACUUAAAUGCAAUGUUUUAAAGAGUGCCUUAGUGAACAGCCACGAUCGGUUGUGGACCCGGUGUACGGACUGUCUCGGGGAAAAAAGCGAGAAAGUGCGAUAGUAUGAGAUGAUGGGGUGGCUUCCAAGUAAGGCCGAAUACUGAAUGACUUUUGAACUCUUGAGCCAUCUUAAAACAUUUUUUAGUUUGUUUACUCGGCUAGGUGGCUUGUUAUCAACACAAACUAUUUUUAAUCACGAUUCUUCAUUUCUUUAACAGACGUGUGUGUGCGUGCGUGACAAUUCAAGACUUUGAAGCUUGUAUGCACAUCGAGAACUGUACAAAUGUGGUUAUGUUGCCCCUUGUUGGUUAGUGUUUACUGCAGCAAAGAAAAAAUGAAGAAUAGUUUGUGGAAGAGGUUGUUGGUGGCUGGUAUGGAGAUGAUAACUGCUCUCAGCAUUCUGAACUCUCGGCACCGACUCUCCCCACCUCUCCCCUUGCUCAAAGACAACUGGUCAGCUGACAUCAAGCAGAGCUUAUCAGUAAUUUUUUAUUGCUUUUUAUGUCGAGAUCCUCAGGUCAACAAUCAAUCAAAAUCAUACCAUUACUACCCAUUAUAUCAGAAUCAUUCUACUCGGUUCAGCAAACAUUAAGGCUUCUACCAAAAUAUAAGGUGAGUGAGUCAAAUCUUUCCCAUUGCUGGCAGGCAUGUAUACAGCAGUGAGAUAACCAGAAUAUAUGUAGGUACCCAAAUUCAGGUCUACACCCAAAAUACCCGUCGCUGUUAGGUACAUCUAACAUUUCGUGUGCAGGGUCGGACAUGUGUUAAUGGUGUGUUUUGAAAACCUUUUGUGGAAAGACUAAUAUUACAUGCUGUGUGUUUUGAAAGUGUCAUCAUCACUAAACUGACUAACCAGAAGAAACACUCAGGCUUGAAAGAUGGUUUGUGGACCUGGGUGAAGCACUGUUUGCGACCUUUUGUCGUGGAGACAGGGUUCCCCACUUUCACUUGAACUUUCCAAAAAUAUUUGUUUUGUUUCUUGUUUACGUGAAAUUUUGUUGUUCCCAUGGCUGUUCUGUCACUGAUGAGGAAAUCGCUGUGCCGAGCAUACACAUGAAGAGAAAAAGAGCCUGCCGCGUUGUUUACUUGUUGAUAUUAUGAAACAGAAAUAUUAGCCUCGUAGACGACAGCACGAAACAGGAAACAAGUUGACUGGACAAAGGGAGAUAAUAGCUUUGAAGCGUCUACUUAUUUACUUGUACUGUGACAAAAAAAUAACAAAAAAAAAAAACAAAACAGACUGUAUUGUGCAAAUAUUGUUACUGAUUGUUAUUGAUAAGAAAGGUGGGUUGUUUUUUUUUUUGUACUCGAGUUACAUAAAGGGUUCUACAUGACAUUAUUUGUGUUUUUACUGGAAGCAGACAUAGAAAAUGCUGGACUAUACAGUGUUGUGAAUUUGUGUGUGAUUAUAAAAUACAAUUGUAUGAUAGUUGAA